rnacentral:rRNA from 1 species
AUUGAACGCUGGCGGCAGGCUUAACACAUGCAAGUCGAGCGAGCGGCGGACGGGUGAGUAAUGUCUGGGCAACUGCCUGAUGGAGGGGGAUAACUACUGGAAACGGUAGCUAAUACCGCAUACCAUCAGAUGUGCCCAGAUGGGAUGAGCUAGUUGGUGGGGUAAUGGCUCACCUAGGCGACGAUCUCUAGCUGGUUUGAGAGGAUGACCAGCCACCCUGGAACUGAGACACGGUCCAGACUCCUACGGGAGGCAGCAGUGGGGAAUAUUUGACAAUGGGCGCAGGCCUGAUGCAGCCAUGCCGCGUGUGUGAAGAAGGCCUUCGGGUUGGAAAGCACUUUCAGCGAGGAGGCGUUACUCGAAGAAUAAGCACCGGCUAACUCCGUGCCAGCAGCCGCGGUAAUUC